rnacentral:lncRNA from 1 species
AAAUGGCACACCAACAACAUUCAACAAACUUUUUGGCGUGUUUCUUGUCACACACGCGAGGCCGUCUGUCUUCUCUGUUCACCUUAUUGCACAUACCAGA